rnacentral:tRNA from 1 species
UGGAUACGCUCGAGGGGGCGUAACCGCGCCUUGCGGGAGCGGCAACGGGACCGCGACCGACCAGUGGCGGGCGUUCAGCCCUCCGUUUCCGGC